GAUGAACGCUGGCGGCGUGCCUAAUACAUGCAAGUCGAGCGAACAGAUGAGGAGCUUGCUCCUCUGACGUUAGCGGCGGACGGGUGAGUAACACGUGGAUAACCUACCUAAAAGACUGGGAUAACUUCGGGAAACCGGAGCUAAUACCGGAUAAUAUAUUGAACCGCAUGGUUCAAUAGUGAAAGACGGUUUUGCUGUCACUUAUAGAUGGAUCCGCGCCGCAUUAGCUAGUUGGUAAGGUAACGGCUUACCAAGGCAACGAUGCGUAGCCGACCUGAGAGGGUGAUCGGCCACACUGGAACUGAGACACGGUCCAGACUCCUACGGGAGGCAGCAGUAGGGAAUCUUCCGCAAUGGGCGAAAGCCUGACGGAGCAACGCCGCGUGAGUGAUGAAGGUCUUCGGAUCGUAAAACUCUGUUAUUAGGGAAGAACAAAUGUGUAAGUAACUAUGCACGUCUUGACGGUACCUAAUCAGAAAGCCACGGCUAACUACGUG
rnacentral:rRNA from 1 species